AUUGAACGCUGGCGGCAGGCCUAACACAUGCAAGUCGAACGGUAACAGGAAGAAGCUUGCUUCUUUGCUGACGAGUGGCGGACGGGUGAGUAAUGUCUGGGAAACUGCCUGAUGGAGGGGGAUAACUACUGGAAACGGUAGCUAAUACCGCAUAACGUCGCACGACCAAAGAGGGGGACCUUCGGUCCUCUUGCCAUCGGAUGUGCCCAGAUGGGAUUAGCUAGUAGUUGGGGUAACGGCGCACCUAGGCGACGAACCCUAGCUGGUCUGAGAGGAGGACCAGCCACGCUGGAACUGGGACACGGUCCAGACUCCUGCGAGAGGCAGAAGUCGGGAAUACUGCACGAUGGGAGCAGGGCUGAUGCAGCCAUGCCGCGUGUAUGAAGAAGGCAUUCGGGUUGUGAAAGACAUGAAGCGGGGAGGAAGGGAGUAAAGUUAAUACCUGGGCUCAAUGAAGUUACCCGCAGAAGUAGGACCGGCUAAAUCCGGG
rnacentral:rRNA from 1 species